UUUCUUGUCACUUGGAAGAACAUCAAACGUCGUUGCAGGAAAACCCAACACUGAAAAUGAAGGCUCGGAAUAAAAAACAUAGACCAAAGAUAAUCAGAGAGAAUAAGCUAGCCAAAGUCAGAAGGAUCACCUGAAGGCUGGCGCGUGGAGUCCCUGGCUGAAGGUUGGCGCAUGGAGUCACUGGCUGAAGGCUGGCGCGUGGAGUCCCUGGCUGAAGGCGGCUGAAAGCUAGAGCGUGGAGUCCCUGGCGCGUGGAGUCCAAUUAUUUGAUGGCUUUAAAGCACCGGUAGCAGUAACACUUUGGGUCUAAUCACUUUGGGUCUAAUCACUUUGGGUCUAAUCUAGAAGCCAUUAAUAGUUGUAUGUACUAGUAUAGGCAUGCAGACAA
rnacentral:lncRNA from 7 species